GACGAACGCUGGCGGUGUGCUUCACACAUGCAAGUCGAACGGGGUAGCAAUACCUAGUGGCGGACGGGUGAGUAACACGUGGGAAUCUACCAUUAGAUGGGGAAUAACAGGCCGAAAGGACUGCUAAAUGCCGCAUAUGUAUGUGCCCUCGACAGGGGCAUAUAUGAAAGGAGUAAUCCGUCUGAUGAUGAGCCCGCGUCCGAUUAGCUAGUUGGUAGGUAAAGCCUACCAAGGCGACGAUCGGUAGGUGGUCUGAGAGGAUGAAUACACCCACAAUGGGACUGAGACACGGCCCAUACUCCUACGGGA
rnacentral:rRNA from 1 species